AUGGUCAGCAAAGAUCUCCAAACACCAAAUAGAAAAUUCCAGAAAUAAUUAGAUUCCUAAUUCUCAAGUAACAUUUAUUACAGUACCUAUUAUUCAUAUUAUAUUUUAAAAUAUUAUUUUCUCACUGAGCCUUAUUUACCCGUGAAACAUUAGCAAGAGUCUAUGUGUACAUGAAGAAUAUGGCUUAUAGGCAACUCGAACUGCCCAGGAUCUCAGCCAUGCAUCGUGAGCUACACAAUAUAUCCCGUGGGCAAGGAAGAAGAGGAUUCUGGGAAAGUGGAACAGAUCUCAGCCUUGUUCAGUGGCUUCUCUUCAUGCCUUGGUCCUGAUGCAAGCACCAUUAUUUGUCUCUCACUGUAUGGCUCCAGUCAGUGGCUAUCUGAUGUCUUCCCGGCAGCCAGCAUUCGGGUAGCAAGUGAAUCAAAUGGCAGUGUUCCCUGGAACGUAGCCCAGAAAAAUCACAGCAUCUACAAGGCCUUACUUCUACCUCCUUUGCCUCCUCCACUCACUGCCAGAGCCCUUGGGACUUUCCUGCAGCCUCAGGCCUGGCUGGGUUCUCCUACACAGCUCUCAGAAGCAGAAUCACCACAUGGAGACACCCGCCCUGGACACUGAGCUCAGGAAACGCCCCACUCACUUCCUCUUCACACUUUUCCUUCAUCCUUCCUUCCUUCCUUCCUUCCCUCCCUCCCUCCCUCCUUCUCUUCCUUCCUUCCUUUCUCCUUCCCUCUCUUCCUCCCUCCUAUCCCAGGGUGUGUGUGUGUGUGUGUGUGUGUGUGUGUGUGUGUGUGUGUGUGUGCAUGUGUGUGUGAAGGGGGGGCAGCGCAGGCAGGCAGGCAGGCAGACAGACAGACAGACAGAAGAAAGUGUGCACGAGCCUCUGGAGUCAGAGUUUCCUGUGGUGUUGAGCUGGGAACUGCACUUGGGUCCUCUCCAAGAGAAUCAAGUUUUCCUCACUGCUGAGCCACGUCUCCAGCUCUGCUUUACUUUUCUUCAGACUGUCUGCCAACACAAAAACAUCUUAUUGAACUCCCUGGGAGAAGAUUGUGGAGAGACAGCAGGAUGUAGGGGCACCCUACAGACACACUGGUUUUCUUCAGACCUAGAUGGGGUUAGGGCCUUGAGAUUUCAUGGCCCUUUUCUGGUUUGUCCCAGUCCUGCCGGUACCUUUAGAAAGAGUCCUUACUCUGGUUAGAAUAUGUCUCCACAAAGUUCACAUCCAGGAAACAUGAUCCCCAAAUUCGCAUUUGGAGAGAGGGUCUUUGGGAGACAAAAUGAGAGCGUGAAGGCGGCCCUAAUGUUGAUUUUGGUGCUUGGCUGAGCUAGCUUGAGCUAGCAUCUUGCUGUGAUGUGGUAUAACAGGGAAAGCCUUGGGGUUGGAGAUUUAGCUCAGUGGUAGAGCGCUUGCCUAGCAAGCGCAAGGCCCUGGGUUCGGUCCCCAGCUCUGAAAAAAAGAAGAAAGAAAAACAAACAAACAAACAAAAAAAAACAAACAAACAGGGAAAGCCUUCACCAGACGAUGGUGGCAUGCUCUUGAACUUUCUCCCUUCCAAAACCACAGGCCAAACAAACGUCUGCUCUUUGUAAGCACCCCAACCUCAGGUGUCUAGGUUAUAGUGCCAUAAAACAAACUAGGGCUUGUCCUCUUCUGCUUCUGAGUCACCCCUUUGCGGGGCUGUCUUGUGCCCCUCCCCCAACCCAUAUUUUUAGAUUUCACCUUCUGAGACUAGAAGGUGGUGGCUGUCCUGGCAACAGGUGCUGAAUUGUCACAGGCAGUGUUAUUUGAUCCAAGCAUCAGGGUAGCCUCCGCCCCAGUAAUCAGAAGAGGCCUUUUCUCUUCCUGUCAGAGUCUGACAUCCUGUAGGCAUGAGCAUUAUGAGCUAAAGCAUCUCUAAAAAUUAAGCACUGAAUCAGGCCCUUUAUUUAUAGCUCAUUUUACAAAUGUGAAUUAAAGUGGCCCAGGCUUAUGACACACUCAAAUUUAUUAUCCCCACUUGAUGGCCUGGAUAGUUAAAUACUUGGGUGAAUAAACUUAGAAUUCAUUAGGCCUCAUUUUCUCAUAUUUCAUAUAUUUGCAAUCGACUCUCUUCCUUGGCAGUUUUCAAACACGAAAAUUAAGCUGGCUCUGAAAUUUAUGGAAGCUUUCUCCUAAUAUUCCUUUAAUUGGAAACUCAUAUGCAGCUUCCUAAGCAAGCCACCCGUGGAGAUAACUUAUAUAAUUGAGCUACCUUAUUGUGUGGCUGCUUAUUACUCUAUUUUCUAAAGCUGUCUUAUCUCUGAAACGCCAUAGAGGUAAGUACUGCACAACCACAGCUGGAGGAUUAGGCUACAUUUGGGGUUUUGGUUUUUUUUUUUUAACCUUUGGAUUGAUGUCAGGAAGGGCUGAUCACUUACAGGUUUCCUGUACACCAUUGAAUGUUAAUAGGGCAUCUUUGGAGACCCUUAUCCCCGGGACAACAUCAUGUUAUUCGAAAUAAUUAGAGGACCACAGGAGCUUUUCCAAGGGUAAAGGAAGUCUGCUUCUCCAGACCCUAGGAAAAUAAUUCCUUCUGUCCCACUUGUCCCAUGUGAGGGCAACACUUUGGACAUCUUAUUGACAGUUGUAACAGAGAGGGGGUGAGAACCAGAGGGGAGAGGGAAGCAGAAAUCAUGAGAGCCACAGCAGAUCUGAGAGGGGUUAUACUGUUCGCAUCUCUGUGAGGUGUGCCAAAGAUGAGACAUCGCUCCAGGAUUAGCUGUCCACCGCGGAACUGCAGGGCAGGAGUGCGGUGCUAGUGAUGCCUAAGCUUUUAGAGCUGAGCGCCAUCAGCACACGCUAGCACCAAGCACUUGAGGAGAAGCAGAGUCGAUCAACUAACACCUGUGUCUUUUCUUUCAUUCACAGGCCCAAUUUCAGAUGCUGGGUUCACGGCGUUGUUCUCAGCGCUGUGCGUAUAUUAACUCCAUUUAAUGUGCGUGGAACCCUGGGGGUGGGUAAGUAGCAAUGUUCUCUCUGUGUGAUUGGGGAGACAGAGGCUCUGAAUAGUCAGAGGCACAAAGCCAGUGAGUGGAUGAAGAGGAAGUUGACUUUCAAUUAUAUACGCCAGAGUUUGUGUUCUUAACCGCUGUAUUUUAAUUGGUGUUCUCCAUGGAUACAGAAGACUUGGGAGUGGUGUGUGUGUGUGUGUGUGUGUGUGUGUGUGUGUGUGUGUGUGUUGUAUCUGUGUGUGUGUGUGUGUGUGAGAGAGAGAGAGAGAGAGAGAGAGAGAGAGAGAGAGAGAGAGUGUGUUUGUGUGGAUGUGGAAGCUCAAAUCCAUAAUCUAAUGACACACCCUUAGAGAUACCUAGGCAGAGGGACUCUCACCUAAAGAACUGGCUCAAUAAGUUUGUCCUCUGACCAUGUCUGAGAGAGAUUUUAUUGGCUGGUGAUUGGUGUGAGAAGCCCAGCCCACUAUGUAUGGCUUUAAGCAAGUAGCUAUCUAUAGUCCUGGGCUGUAUAAAACAGUAAAUCAGAGAGCAAGCUGAGCCAGGGGGUGGUAGCACAUGUCUUUAAUUCCAGCACCCAGGAGGCAGAGGCAGAAGGAUCUCUGUGAGGCCAGCCUGGUCUAUGGCAUGAGUUCCAGGACAGUCAGGGCUACAUAGAGUAAUCCUGUUUCUAAAAAACCAAAAUAAAAUAAAAUAAGCUGUUUCAGAGAGCAAGCCAGUAA